UACGUAGGGGGCAAGCGUUGUCCGGAUUCAUUGGGCGUAAAGAGCGUGUAGGCGGCCAGGUAGGUCGGUUGUGAAAACUGGAGGCUACAACCUCAGAGGUCGACCGAAACCAUCUGGCUAGAGUCCGGGGAGAGGGAGAGUGGAAUUCCUGGUGUAGCGGUGAAAUGCGCAGAUAUCAGGAAGAACACCAGUGGCGAAGGCGGCUUACUGGUCCGGAACUGACGCUGAGGUGCGAAAGCGUGAGGAGCAAACAGG
rnacentral:rRNA from 1 species